UACGUAGGGAGCAAGCGUUGUCCGGAAUCAUUGGGCGUAAAGCGCGCGUAGGUGGCCCCAUAAGUCCGCUGUGAAAGUCAAAGGCUCAACCUUUGAAAGCCGGUGGAUACUGUGGGACUAGAGUACGGAAGAGGCGAGUGGAAUUCCUGGUGUAGCGGUGGAAUGCGCAGAUAUCAGGAGGAACACCAAUAGCGAAGGCAGCUCGCUGGGACGUUACUGACACUGAGGCGCGAAAGCGUGGGGAUCGAACAGG
rnacentral:rRNA from 1 species